rnacentral:rRNA from 1 species
GAUGAACGCUGGCGGCGUGCUUAACACAUGCAAGUCGAACGGUGAAGCCCAGCUUGCUGGGUGGAUCAGUGGCGAACGGGUGAGUAACACGUGAGCAACCUGCCCCUGACUCUGGGAUAAGCGCUGGAAACGGCGUCUAAUACUGGAUACGAGACGUGAUCGCAUGGUCAACGUUUGGAAAGAUUUUUCGGUUGGGGAUGGGCUCGCGGCCUAUCAGCUUGUUGGUGAGGUAAUGGCUCACCAAGGCGUCGACGGGUAGCCGGCCUGAGAGGGNGACCGGCCACACUGGGACUGAGACACGGCCCAGACUCCUACGGGAGGCAGCAGUGGGGAAUAUUGCACAAUGGGCGCAAGCCUGAUGCAGCAACGCCGCGUGAGGGAUGACGGCCUUCGGGUUGUAAACCUCUUUUAGCAGGGAAGAAGCGAGA